rnacentral:rRNA from 1 species
ACCUGUGCUGGACCGUGUACAAGUCUCCUGGAAUGGAGCAUCACAGAGGGUGAGAAUCCCGUCUUUGACACGGACUACCAGUGCAUUGUGGUUGUGCUCUCAACGAGUCGAGUUGUUUGGGAAUGCAGCUCUAAAUGGGUGGUAAAUUCCAUCUAAAGCUAAAUAUUGGCGAGAGACCGAUAGCGAACAAGUACCGUGAGGGAAAGAUGAAAAGAACUUUGGAAAGAGAGUUAAACAGUAUGUGAAAUUGUUGAAAGGGAAACGUUUGAAGUCAGUCGUGUUGGCUGGGGAUCAACCUGACUUAUUGUUAGGUGUAUUUCCUGGUUGACGGGCCAACAUCAGUUUUGACUGCCAGAAAAAGGCCAAGGGAAUGUGGCACCUUUGGGUGUGUUAUAGCUUUUGGUCGUAUGUGGUGGUUGGGACUGAGGACAGCAGUGCGCCGCAAUGGCAGGGUUUCGACCACAUUCGCACUGAGGAUGUUGGCAUAAUGGCUUUAAGCGACCCGUCUUGAAACACGGACCAAGGAGUCUAACAUGCAUGCGAGUGUUUGGGUGGAAAACCCUUACGCGUAAUGAAAGUGAAAGUUGAGAUCCCUGUCGUGGGGAGCAUCGACGCCCGGACCAGAACUUUUGGGACGGAUCUGCGGUAGAGCACGUAUGUUGGGACCCGAAAGAUGGUGAACUAUGCCUGAAUAGGGUGAAGCC